rnacentral:lncRNA from 1 species
UAAAAACAUGGAGAAAUCAAAGUAGCUGAUAAUCAGAAUAUCAGAUGACAUUUGGCUUUGAUAUGUAUUUUCGGUCUCUGAGUUUCUGAAAAUCCACAGUACUUCAAAUAAUGUAAGGACAUAUUACAAAUGUAAGGACAUAUCUAGACUCAGAAGAAACCCAAAUAUGUAGCUCCCUCGUCCUAACUUGUGUUUGAUUUCUUUUUGCUUUCCAGUUCAUGCUAGGAGUGGAAGGCAUUCUUCUUAGGCUACUUGGGUAUCAGGAGACCCAGCCCUUUCCCUGUGAAUAUUUGAUUUUACUUCUUGUGAGUGUUCAGCUCCUGCUUAACAACAGGCAACAUGAAGAGUGAGAUUGGAGGUGAGAAGGUACUUAUCUGCUGCUUGUGAGCAAGGCUCUGUAAGGGGUAGGCUCCCCCACAAGACAACCCGGUGGUUGCUCAGGAAACUGUGAGACAAACCGUGCUCCCUGAGAAGAAAGGGGGACUCAACAGUCUAUGGCUCUGAUAACCUUAGCUGGUGGCCUGGCUUCCUUCUGAUAAGAGAAAGAGAAGUACAAAACAUUCACCAGACUGUAGCACCUUUCACCAUCCUCUCUGAGCUGCAAUGAAGAUAAAAACAAAGCUAUUCAUGACCUACCAUGCUUUGAAUGGACCCAGCCUCUCUCUCCCAGAAAUUCAUGUUAAAAUGAAAAAAUGUAACCAAAUUUGAGAGCCAUAUUUUCCUCCUGAGCCACAAUUAUCCUGAUCCCUCAUUCAAAACAACUCUGUGAUGAAGACAACAGUACAUUUUUCCUGUCUGUUCCAUUCUGCCUAAAUCACAUACCUCUGAAGAAUCUGCUCAGGAUCACCUUGUCAUAUACAGAACCUCCAGG